AGGGAAAAAGCCUAUCUUCUGGUUGCUUUGUGAAUUGUGAACUAAAGAUACAGAGAGAAAACAGAUUGCCCAGACCCGAAUAUCAUCCCCAGGAUCUGAAGACUCAAAAAUCGCUCUUCAGGCUUGUUGUGGAUUUUUCUGAGAAGAAUCUGUGAAAUUAUGUGAAUAGAGACUUACUUUGUAAAGCCAUGGGGGAAAGAGAAAGAAGUCCAGCCACUGAUCGAGAAGGUAAGACAAGCAGAAACUGUUCGUCUUACUCUUCAUCUGAUUCUGGAACUACUCCACAGUCUUCUGGCCGGUCAUCGCUGGUGCAUCCCUCCCCGCCUGCAAGUAUUAAGGGAAAAUAUCCUAAAAAACAAACUUCAGAUAGCCAAGUGCAUCAUCACGCCCCUAGGAAACCAAGCCCUAAGGGUCCACCAAACAGAAAGGGAGUCCGAGCAGGAUUUCGCUCCCAGAGCCUCAAUAGGCAGCCACUUCAAAAAGAUCCUGAUCGCGUUACAAAACAGGUUCUUUGUGCAAGACAGCUAAAAAUCAAUGAACUGCAGAACGAAGUAACUGAGCUCCAGGUCAAGUUGGCCGAGCUGCUGAAAGAAAAUAAGGCUUUGAAAAGGCUUCAGUACAGGCAGGAGAAAGCCCUAAAUAAGUAUGAAGACACAGAAAACGAAAUCUCACAACUUAUUGCUCGUCAUAACAAUGAGAUUACAGCACUCAAAGACCGCUUAAGAAAAUCUCAAGAGAAAGAACGAGUAUCUGAAAAAAGGGUGAAAGAGACAGAAGGCGAACUACUUAGGACAAAAAUUUCCUUACAGAAACUGAAAAAGAUCUCUGAAGCUAAACACCUACCUGAACGAGUUGAUUUAGCAAAGAAACUCGCUUCUGCAGAGUUAAAAUUAGAUGACACAGAGAGAAGAAUUAAGGAACUAUCAAGAAACCUUGAGCUAAGUACUAACAGUUUGCAGCGACAGUUGCUUGCUGAAAGGAAAAGGGCGUGUGAGGCUCAUGAUGAAAAUAAACUUCUUCAAAAGGAGCUACAAGGACUAUAUGACAAAUUAAAGGAAAAGGAGAGAGAACUGGACAUAAAAAACAGAUAUUCUCAUCGUCUGCCAAAGACUUCAAAGAAAGAAAAAGAAUUUGCAUCAAGAAAAAAUGCUGCAUGCCAGAGUGAUUUUACAAACCAGUGUACAAAAGGAAUACAAACCAGUGACGACUUCAAGCUGGAGGACUAUCCUAUAACACCACAGACAGUUAUGUGUUAUGAGAACAAAAGGGAAGAACCUGAACGUCUUUCUUUGGAUAUGGAAUCUCAAGAGAGAGAUAAUCUUGGAGAAGUUCGGAUUCUAAACCCAACUGUGGAAAGAGAAGACAAAUUUGCUAAAGAUCAAGGACUCCGUGUUGUGAAACAGGAUGUUGAGAAGCUGGAGAAUGGUAAGUUUAAGCAAAUGAUAAGUAAACAUCCCUUGGGAAAGAAAGGGUUA
rnacentral:lncRNA from 1 species